CGGACGGGUGAGUAACGCGUGAGAAUCUGCCCUCAGGAGGGGGACAACAGCUGGAAACGGCUGCUAAUACCCCAUAUGCCGCGAGGUGAAAUGAAUUUCGCCUGAGGAUGAGCUCGCGUCUGAUUAGCUAGUUGGUGAGGUAAUGGCUCACCAAGGCAUCGAUCAGUAGCUGGUCUGAGAGGAUGAUCAGCCACACUGGGACUGAGACACGGCCCAGACUCCUACGGGAGGCAGCAGUGGGGAAUUUUCCGCAAUGGGCGAAAGCCUGACGGAGCAACGCCGCGUGAGGGAUGAAGGCCUCUGGGCUGUAAACCUCUUUUAUCAAGGAAGAAGAUCUGACGGUACUUGAUGAAUAAGCCACGGCUAAUUCCGUGCCAGCAGCCGCGGUAAUACGGGAGUGGCAAGCGUUAUCCGGAAUUAUUGGGCGUAAAGCGUCCGCAGGGGGCCCUUCAAGUCCUGCGUGUUAAAAAGUGGAGCCUUAACUCCCAUCAAUGGCAAGUUGGAAAACGUUGGGCUUGAGUGUGGUAGGGGCAGAGGGAAUUCCCGGUGUAGCGGUGAAAUGCGUAAGUAUCGGGAAGAACACCAGUGGCGAAGGCGUUCUGCUGGGCCAUCACUGACGCUCAUGGACGAAAGCCAGGGGAGCGAAAGGGAUUAGAUACCCCAGUAGUC
rnacentral:rRNA from 1 species